rnacentral:rRNA from 1 species
CAGCCUGAUGCAGCGACGCCGCGUGCGGGAUGACGGCCUUCGGGUUGUAAACCGCUUUUGAUCGGGAGCAAGCCUUCGGGUGAGUGUACCUUUCGAAUAAGCACCGGCUAACUACGUGCCAGCAGCCGCGGUAAUACGUAGGGUGCAAGCGUUAUCCGGAAUUAUUGGGCGUAAAGGGCUCGUAGGCGGUUCGUCGCGUCCGGUGUGAAAGUCCAUCGCUUAACGGUGGAUCUGCGCCGGGUACGGGCGGGCUGGAGUGCGGUAGGGGAGACUGGAAUUCCCGGUGUAACGGUGGAAUGUGUAGAUAUCGGGAAGAACACCAAUGGCGAAGGCAGGUCUCUGGGCCGUUACUGACGCUGAGGAGCGAAAGCGUGGGGAGCGAACAGGAUUAGAUACC